AGUGAACGCUGGCGGUAGGCCUAACACAUGCAAGUCGAACGGCAGCACAGUAAGAGCUUGCUCUUACGGGUGGCGAGUGGCGGACGGGUGAGGAAUACAUCGGAAUCUACUUUUUCGUGGGGGAUAACGUAGGGAAACUUACGCUAAUACCGCAUACGACCUACGGGUGAAAGCAGGGGAUCUUCGGACCUUUCGCGAUUGAAUGAGCCGAUGUCGGAUUAGCUAGUUGGCGGGGUAAAGGCCCACCAAGGCGACGAUCCGUAGCUGGUCUGAGAGGAUGAUCGGCCACACUGGAACGGGGACACGGUCCAGACUCCUACGGGAGGCAGCAGUGGGGAAUAUUGGACAAUGGGCGCAAGCCUGAUCCAGCCAUACCGCGUAGGUGAAGAAGGCCUUCGGGUUGUAAAGCCCUUUUGUUGGGAAAGAAAAGCAGCAGGUUAAUACCCCGCUGUUCUGACGGUACCCAAAGAAUAAGCACCGGCUAACUUCGUG
rnacentral:rRNA from 1 species